rnacentral:rRNA from 1 species
GUGGGGAAUAUUGCGCAAUGGGCGAAAGCCUGACGCAGCAACGCCGCGUGAGUGAUGAAGGUCUUCGGAUCGUAAAGCUCUGUCGGCAGGAACGAUGGUUUCAUGGGCUAAUAUCCCGCGAGAUUGACGGUACCUGCAAAGGAAGCACCGGCUAACUCUGUGCCAGCAGCCGCGGUAAUACAGAGGGUGCAAGCGUUGUUCGGAAUCAUUGGGCGUAAAGGGCGCGUAGGCGGUUGAUCAAGUUGAAUGUGAAAGCCCGGGGCUCAACCUCGGAAGUGCAUUCAAAACUGGUUAACUAGAGUUCCGCAGAGGAUGGUAGAAUUCCCAGUGUAGAGGUGAAAUUCGUAGAUAUUGGGAGGAAUACCAGUGGCGAAGGCGACCAUCUGGACGGAAACUGACGCUGAGGCGCGAAAGCGUGGGUAGCAAACAGGAUUAGAAACCCCUGUAGUCC